GUGGGAUGGGGCUUAGCUCUGAAGUUUUCAAGAGAUCCCCAUGCGUGCAGGCAAGGCUGGGGUGCCCUCCUGCUGGAGAGGGGACCCCGUGCGUGGAGGUGAGAUGGGGCUUAGCUCUGAAGUUUUCAAGAGAUCCCCAUGCGUGCAGGCAAGGCUGGGGUGCCCUCCUGCUGGAGAGGGGACCCCGUGCGUGGAGGUGAGAUGGGGCUUAGCUCUGAAGUUUUCAAGAGAUCCCCAUGCGUGCAAGCAAGGCUGGGGUGCCCUCCUGCUGGGGAGGGGACCCCGUGCGUGGAGGUGAGAUGGGGCUUAGCUCUGAAGUUUUCAAGAGAUCCCCAUGCGUGCAGGCAAGGCUGGGGUGCCCUCCUGCUGGAGAGGGGACCCCGUGCGUGGAGGUGGGAUGGGGCUUAGCUCUGAAGUUUUCAAGAGAUCCCCAUGCGUGCAGGCAAGGCUGGGG